rnacentral:rRNA from 1 species
GAUGAACGCUAGCGGCAGGCUUAACACAUGCAAGUCGAGGGGUAGAUUACUUCGGUAAUUGAGACCGGCGCACGGGUGCGUAACGCGUAUACAAUCUACCUUUUACAGAGUGAUAGCCCAGAGAAAUUUGGAUUAAUACCUCAUAGUAUUUUCGAAUCGCAUGAUUUGAUUAUUAAAGUUCCAACGGUAAAAGAUUAGUAUGCGUCCCAUUAGCUAGAUGGUAAGGUAACGGCUUACCAUGGCUAUGAUGGCUAGGGGUCCUCAGAGGGAGAUCCCCCACACUGGUACUGAGACACGGACCAGACUCCUACGGGAGGCAGCAGUGAGGAAUAUUGGACAAUGGGCGCAAGCCUGAUCCAGCCAUGCCGCGUGCAGGAAGAAGGUCCUAUGGAUUGUAAACUGCUUUUAUACAGGAAGAAACACCUCUACGUGUAGAGACUUGACGGUACUGUAUGAAUGAGGACCGGCUAACUCCGUGCCAGCAGCCGCAGUAA